AAAAAGGGAGAAAAAGCAAAUCAGAAAAAAAGGUGAUUUCGAGUUUUAUUCUCUAUUUUUUGCUCUCGAUCUUUUUUCUUUUUUGGAUUCUUUGCUUUCUUUUUCUUUUAUUCAUUGUUUGAAAUAAAAAAAAACCGAGGAAGGAUGAGAGUCUACCUGCAUAACGUGACCGUCGGAUCCCUGCUUCUCUCGUCGUAAUUGAAGCAAAUGGGAUCUGAAAGGUUGAGCGGCGCAGGGAGAAAUCCUUAGGUUUUAGGUUUUUUUUUGUAAAUGACUGAUGGCUGAUUAGUUUUAGGAUUAUUUUAGUCUUUAUACGGUGAAAGAAACGGCAGCGUUUUAAGCAGGCCAUAUAGCUUUAAAAACGACGCCGUUUGGAAGCUCAGACCCGCGUGGUGACCCGACCCAGGGCAGGAUCCGCGUGCUUCUGUUCAUUGGUCUAUUUUCACGACGAGUCCCUCUGGUUUUGUGGAAUUUCGAUUUGAUUUUCUUCGAUUUUUUUAUUUGUACAGCAUAUUUAAUUUUGUUUUCAUUUGAAUCCAAGUUUAAAUGGUGUCGUUUUCUACCAUUGAUUAUGAUUAUUCGGGUUUUUGCGUUUAAUUUUUGUUUUAGUCCUUCAAUUUUGAGUCAAUCACAAUUUAACCUACUUUUAUUUUUUAUUUCUGUUCAUAACCCUUUUAAUUUUAUUUUGAUUUCAAUUUCAUCUUGG
rnacentral:lncRNA from 1 species